AACGAACGCUGGCGGCAUGCCUAACACAUGCAAGUCGAACGAGACCUUCGGGUCUAGUGGCGCACGGGUGCGUAACGCGUGGGAACCUGCCCUUAGGUUCGGAAUAACUCCCCGAAAGGGGUGCUAAUACCGGAUAAUGUCUUCGGACCAAAGAUUUAUCGCCUUUGGAUGGGCCCGCGUUGGAUUAGCUAGUUGGUAGGGUAAAAGCCUACCAAGGAGACGAUCCAUAGCUGGUCUGAGAGGAUGAUCAGCCACACUGGGACUGAGACACGGACCAGACUCGUACGGGAGGGAGCAGUAGGGAACAUUAGACAAUGAGCGAAAGCCUGAUAACGCCAUGCCGCGUGAGUGAUGAAGGGCUUAGGGUUGUAAAGCUCUUUUACACGGGAUGAUAAUGACAGUACCGGGAGAAUAAGCUCCGGCUAACUACGUG
rnacentral:rRNA from 1 species